UUUGUGCUGCAAAGCAGCUCUUUUUGUGGUCCCAAUAGUUUUGGCUUUCCUGGACGGUCCUCAAAGAUGACUGCCAUCGGAGGGUGGCAAAUUACACAGAUGUAAAUAGUCAGAGUCAACAUUCUCUCAAAAGCUACAAGCCAGCUUUACCAGUACCUUAUAUUAUUUUGGCCACAAGGGGGCACUCUGGGAUUUAGUCUUGAUGUGAAGUGGGAAUAGUUCUCCUAAAAAGGCGGAAGAAACUUCAGCUAAAAUUCUAGUUCCUGAAAACUUUUUCAGUUGUACCUUUAAAAUAAACAUUUAAGUUCUGUUUUAA